AUUGAACGCUGGCGGCAGGCUUAACACAUGCACGUCGAACGAGUGGCGGACGGGUGAGUAAUGCUUGGGAAUCUAGCUUAUGGAGGGGGAUAACUACGGGAAACUGUAGCUCAUACCGCGUACCAUAGGAUGAGCCCAAGUGGGAUUAGGUAGUUGGUGAGGUAAAGGCUCACCAAGCCGACGAUCUCUAGCGGGUCUGAGAGGAUGACCAGCCAAAUGGGAACUGAUACACGGCCCAGACACCUACGCGAGGAAGCAGUGGGGAAUAUUGUGCAAUUGGGGCAACCUUACGCAGCCAUGCCGCGUGAAUGAAGAAGGCCUUCGGGUUGUAAAGUGCUUUCGGUAGCGAGGCGUUACCUACAGAAGAAGCACCGGCUAACUCCGUGCCAGCAGCCGCGGUAAUAC
rnacentral:rRNA from 1 species